rnacentral:tRNA from 1 species
GCCCGGGUGGUGGAAUGGUAUACACGGAGGACUUAAAAUCCUCUGCCGCAAGGAUUGUGGGUUCGAGUCCCACCCCGGGCACCA